AGUACCAAUGGAGGAGGAUGCUUUAUUCCAGUUGCAAGGAUGGCACAGUUCUGUUAGGACUUCCUCCAGCAGGCAGACUCCAUGUUGUAAUUGAAGUGGAUAUCCCAGGUUCUAUCAGUCAGGAAUAAAGAGGCAAAGGAGAUUGUGUGCAUCAAAGGGAAAUCUAACACUCGGGAGCAUACAGUGCCCUACCUUUGUGCCGGCGCUGAGGCUCAUCUCUGCUAUGAAAGGAGGCUGCGAGAAAGACGGUAGCAUCUACAACUGAAAACUGCUGUGUUAAGUGGGCCCCAGAUUUAUAUGAUUUGGUAACAGUCUCUUAUGGAUCAUUCAGUGACGAGCCCCCAGCAGCAUCCGUGGUUUAGGAAGGACAAGGGAAGCAGUGGCAGCGGCCAAAAAAGCAUGGAAGCAGUUUCCUGCACGAGAGUGUAAUGGUGGUCUAGGGGAGGGUGUCAUAUUUUUUGUGAAUAUAGAUAAGACGGCUGUAGUAGUUUUUUUUUAGCUUAAGCUGUAGUAGAAUAUAACCCCGCAGGCCUGUAGUAGGGUUCUGUACGUAGCCUGCCUGUAUGUCAUGUUUGUUUGUAGGAACGACCGAACUGACGGUGUCUCCUAUCCUGCAACAUCAUGUUCCGACGAUUUGCCGUAUCUCUGUUAAGAACCAAUUGUAUACCAGCUGAAAGUUUAUUC